CAAAAGCUACAACAUAUAUAUAUUAUAAAAGUGAUUUAAAAUUUCACAUGAAAAUUUACUUGUGGGUAUGUGAAACUGGUGCACCUAAUAUAUUAGUUAUUACCUGGUAGAUUCUCUGUCUCUUUAUUGAAAAAGGUGCAGAAUUCAGGAGGAAAAUUGGGUAAAGUAAACAAACCAUUGGCCUCAACUGAUGCUCUUAGCUGCUUCCACCUUUGUUCCAUGAUCUCAUAGCUGUACUUGAAGAAUGAUAGCUCUUGUGAUUUUUCUUGUUCGGUACUAUCUGAUACUAGCUUUAGAACCUUAGCAGCUCUGAGUUGAGAAUCCUUUGAGACACCAAUUGUAUUUAGCUCAAUGAAUUUUGUCAUUCCUUUUGCUACCUCUUGAUCCUUGACAAGAGCCCAACUACAAAGUAUAAAGUGAAAAUUUCAAGAAAUGAAUGUGAAGCAUGAAGUUUGAGUUUAAUUUUGAAAUAUGAUAAUGUAAUAAUAUUAUUCAGUCAUGUGUACAUUACUAAAUACUUAACUUCUAAGGUAUUUAUUAUCAUCAUCAAAUAUUUCUAAUGAUAAAUGGCUUAAUGAUAUGAUAACACAUGACAAUUAUGGAAAACUCUUUUAACCUUAUAUCAUAAAAUGGUUGAAGUUGUUAUUUUUUGUCUAAAAUUUCACUCAACCCAUAUCUUCUUUAACAUUAGAAAAAUGAUUUUCUCAUCCUCUUUUUCUUGACACCCCUUUGAAAAAUGCUUUUGCUUUGGAAAGUGGAAACAAUAAUGAACAGAUCAAUUAUUAUAAUAAAGGUGUAAAAAAGAAUAGGGAUUCUGUCUAAUAGUACUUUAAAUUCAUUUUGUUUUCAACAUCAAAACUUUUAUUUCAUUAUACUUGAAAGAAUAAAUAUAUCAUUAGAUGUUAGAUUUGAUUUUAUUUUUGAACAUCCUAGUGGAGAGGAUCUUUACUGGUAAAAAGAGUUCAACAAUACUGUUAGGCUAGACAUUAUGGGUGCAUAUCUGUUGUCCUACGGUUUGCAUCACUUCAUGUACCAUAAACUUGUGAUUCAUAUAUUAUAAAAGUGAUUUAAAAUUUCACAUGAAAAUUUACUUGUGGGUAUGUGAAACUGGUGCACCUAAUAUAUUAGUUAUUACCUGGUAGAUUCUCUGUCUCUUUAUUGAAAAAGGUGCAGAAUUCAGGAGGAAAAUUGGGUAAAGUAAACAAACCAUUGGCCUCAACUGAUGCUCUUAGCUGCUUCCAC
rnacentral:lncRNA from 1 species